rnacentral:lncRNA from 1 species
AUCAUCAACUCCAGGCGGACUGUCCUGCUGUGGCUUUAUAACAGGGAUCAAUCAACGCCAGGCUGAACUGUCUGCUGUGGCUUUAGUAACAGGGAUCAUCAACUCCAGGCUGACUGUCUGCUGUGGCUUUAGUAACAGGGAUCAUCAACUCCAGGCUGGCUGUGGCUUUAGUAACAGGGAUCAUCAACUCCAGGCUGACUGUCUGCUGUGGCUUUGCAGUGUUGUUUACCCUGAUGCUUUAGACACGUGCAGAAACACACACACACACACACGAGCAUAGAAACACAUAGUAACGGACACACUCAAACACAUGCAGUUGCAGAAACAACCUGUAAACACACACUUGCAGAAAAACACAAUUAUACUGUCAUAGUGCUUGCGCUUGUGGAAACUUAGCAACUGUCAACAUACAUUCUCAGGGAUUUCUCAACAAAAAAAGCAAAGGAAAAUAAAAAAGAGAGAAUGAGAGCAUUUUAUUGUACUGUAUAUAUAAUAGUAUA